rnacentral:rRNA from 1 species
GACGAACGCUGGCGGCGUGCUUAACACAUGCAAGUCGAACGGAAAGGCCUCUUUCGGGUUGUGCUCUAGUGGCGAACGGGUGAGUAACACGUGAGUAACCUGCCCUUGACCUUGGGAUAACUUCAGGAAACUGGUGCUAAUACCGGAUAGGUUCUCCUGCUGCAUGGUGGGGGGUGGAUAUUUUGGGCGGUGGGGGAUGGACUCUCGGCGUAUCGGCUGGUUGGUGGGGGAGUGUCGUACGGAGGCUUUGACGGGUAGCCGGCCUGAGAGGGUGAGCGGCAAAAUUGGGACUGAGAUACGGCCCAGACUCCUGUGGGAGGCAGCAGUGGGGAAUAGUGCACAAUGGGUGGAAGCCUGAUGCAGCAACGCCGUGUGCGGGAUGACGGCAUUCGGGUUGUCAGCCGCUUUCGCUCAUGGCGAAGCUUUGUGUGACGGUAGUGGGUAAAGAAGCACCGGCUAACUACGUG